GCAUUCCCUCCCUCGCGGCUCCUUCUCCACCUCCUUCCCCGUCUCUCCCUUUCUUCCCUCACCUCCCACUACCCAGUCUCGCCUCCUUUCUUGGCAUGUUUCCGAACCAGGUUUGGCGGGCCUGUGUGCGCAGAGCAGGUCAAAACGUGGAGACGCUGAGGUUUGUGACAGGAAGGUCAAAGAAAAGCAUGACAAUGCAGACUGAUGUCAGGAGAACAAGAUUUUCCAAGGAUGGAGUCGGGCGGCGCUUAUCAGCGAUGCUGACGGUCCACGGCUGCGUUCGCUUGUUAGGGCUCAUAUCACAGAGCACCAGGGGGCUUCCCAGGGGGCGCUGGUGGUAAAGAAUCCGCUGGCCAAUCCAGGAGACCUAAGAGAAGCGGCUCUGAUCCCUGGGCCGGGAAGAUCCCCUGGAGGGCACGGCAGUCCACUCCAGUACUCUCGUCUAGAGAAUCCCAUGGACAGAAGAGCCUGGUGGCUGCAGUCACAAAAAACUCAGACGUGACUUAGUGACUAAACAACAAAAGGAAAUGCGGGCAUUAGAUAGUCCUUGGCUGGCAUUUCGAUCGCACGGCAUACACUCUCUCAUCACUGCAACAGGGUCACUUACUAAAUACAUCUAAGAGGAACUCUGACAGUCCUGAGAAAUCUGACCACGUGACUCUGGCACAACACAGAUGCUUAGUGACGACAUUCCAGCAGGUUUACCACACUGGGCGCAGAGACACGAAGGGAGCAAACGCC
ensembl:lncRNA